UCCCUGGAGGACCAGUGGUUAGGCCACAGCACUGUCACCACUACAGCCCGGGUUCGAUUCCCGGCCAGGGGU
rnacentral:tRNA from 1 species